rnacentral:pre_miRNA from 1 species
CUUGCGGGGGGAGGGGUCCCUCAGCACAGAUUGUGAGAGGGUGCAGGCCAGGCUGAGGGACCCCCACUGGUGCAUG